CCCCUGCCGGGGCUGAAUGCUCCACGGGCUGCAGCGACACCCCACCCCCACGCUCCAGGGGCUGCAAUGAUCCCUCCCUGCAAUGUGUGCACCAGGGGUGCAUGCUUCAUUGCUUCGUGCAUGUCGGAUGCAUAAUUCAUAGGCUGCAGCAAUUACUCUCCCCCCCCCCCCCCGGCAGGGUUUGCAUGGCUGCUAUUUCCAUGCUUAAUUGGGUGAACUAUUCACCCCACCCUUUGCAAGCCCGAGCUUGCUUCAUUUGCGGCAGCGAACCCCCCAUCUCCCGGUAGGCUAGGUGCCUGCUUUAUGCUUGAAUUCCCUCCCCCCCGCGCCCAGUUACUCUGGAAGCUGGGCAAAACGAGGCGGUGAGGUAUUCAUACUUCAUAUACACUGUGGUGACACUAUCCCCACUUCCUUAUUUGCAGGCUGGGCACGAGGUUGGGGCUUCUUGCACAGGAACAUGGGGGACAGAGGCCGGAGUUUCCCUCAAGCUGCAUUAAAAACUCCUUGGAUUAGCGAGAAGAGGCCACUCAACCCAGGAGGUGACCAGGGAGGGGUCAGAGUGUGCAAGCCAGGUGACCUGUCCCAUUCCGAGCGCACCGGCUGCAUCCCCUGUGCCGGGGCUGGCAUUAUCCAGCCAAGGGUCCCUGCUGAACCAGGGAUCAAACGACAACUCUGAGCAACUUCCCUGAGUUUUUCAACGGUGGAUCUCAAAGCGCUUUACAGAAUGGGAAACUGAGGCACCCGGUUUUCAACUUAUUGAAAGCAAGAGAAAUAUACACAAGAUGAAGAAACUCUCACAUCUCACCGUAAAGCAUGCUCCCCGGCAGCGAACAUCUCCCCAGAUGCAGGUGUGAGUGAGGCCUUGGGCCUAGACCCAGCUCCAGAAGCACCCGGGUUGGUGACCAGACACACACAGGCCCAGGUCCGAUGAAGUGAGCUAUAGCUCACGAAAGCUUAUGCUCAAAUAAAUUUGUUAGUCUCUAAGGUGCCACAAGUUCUCCUUUUCUUUUUGUGAAUACAGACUAACAUG